UACGUAGGUGGCGAGCGUUGUCCGGAAUUACUGGGUGUAAAGGGCGUGUAGGCGGGAAUGCAAGUCAGAUGUGAAAUGCCGAGGCUUAACUUCGGAGCUGCAUCUGAAACUGCGUUUCUUGAGUGUCGGAGAGGAAAGUGGAAUUCCCAGUGUAGCGGUGAAAUGCGUAGAUAUUGGGAGGAACACCAGUGGCGAAGGCGACUUUCUGGACGAUAACUGACGCUGAGGCGCGAAAGCGUGGGGAGCAAACAGG
rnacentral:rRNA from 1 species